GGAUUUUGAAAUGCCGAGCAGAGUGAUGUGAUCUGCCUGCAUCCCUUAGUGGAAUGCCCUGGGCAAGAAACCGUUGAUAAAACUUGGUGGCAGAGCAUUUAUUUCAUUGUUUUAUCAGUAAAGGAGCACACAGAGAGGACCCUGGCUUUGAGGGUCCUGGUAAAUCAGGCUGUUGGGGACAAUUCUGUUGAGUACAAGGAGGAUGGAGAAGAUCAAUGGCAAGCUCAGUGGUCACAGCCAACCCCACGGAACAGAGAGGCUGCGAACUGCAUAGACAAGGAUUUUUCUUGAAGCCUUAAAUGAUACUGUUACCUACGCUGCACAAGAUGAAGCCGACCUCUUCGUUGGGGAUGCAGGGAGCAGCAGACUGCUGUGAAGGAAA
rnacentral:lncRNA from 1 species